GGCCUUGGCUGUGCUAGAGAGGGCA
rnacentral:piRNA from 1 species